UACGUAGGUGACCAGCGUUGUCCGGAUUUACUGGGCGUAAAGAGCGCGCAGGCGGUCGUUCAAGUCGAGUGUGAAAGCCCCCCGGCUCAACUGGGGAGGGUCACGCGAUACUGAUCGACUCGAAGGCAGGAGAGGGUAGUGGAAUUCCCGGUGUAGUGGUGAAAUGCGUAGAUAUCGGGAGGAACACCAGUGGCGAAGGCGGCGACCUGGGUAGAUACUGACGCUGAGGUGCGAAAGCGUGGGGAGCAAACAGG
rnacentral:rRNA from 1 species